GACGAAGGGGGCUAGCGUUGUUCGGAAUUACUGGGCGUAAAGCGCGUGUAGGCGGUUAUCCAAGUCGGGGGUGAAAUCCUGGAGCUCAACUCCAGAACUGCCUUCGAUACUGGCGAUCUUGAGUCCGGAAGAGGUGAGUGGAACUCCUAGUGUAGAGGUGGAAUUCGUAGAUAUUAGGAAGAACACCAGUGGCGAAGGCGGCUCACUGGUCCGGUACUGACGCUGAGGUGCGAAAGCGUGGGGAGCAAACAGG
rnacentral:rRNA from 1 species